ensembl:miRNA
CAGUCAGGCUCCUGGCUAAAUUCCAGCCCUUAGCGGGAAUUUAGCCAAAGCCUGACUAUAA